rnacentral:rRNA from 1 species
AGCAGCCGCGGUAAUUCCAGCUCCAAUAGCGUAUAUUAAAGUUGUUGCAGUUAAAAAGCUCGUAGUUGAAUUUCGGGAUCAGUACGCUGGUCGUGCCUUUGGUAUGUACUGGUGUCACUGAUUCCUCCCUUCUGAAGAACCGUUAUGCCAUUUAUUUGGUGUGGCGGGAAAUCAGGACUGUUACUUUGAAAAAAUUAGAGUGUUUAAAGCAGGCUCGCGCUUGAAUACAUUAGCAUGGAAUAAUGAAAUAGGACGUUUGAUCUUAUUUUGUUGGUUUCUAGGAUCGACGUAAUGAUUAAUAGGGAUAGUUGGGGGCAUUAGUAUUCAAUUGUCAGAGGUGAAAUUCUUGGAUUUAUUGAAGACUAACUACUGCGAAAGCAUUUGCCAAGGAUGUUUUCAUUAAUCAAGAACGAAAGUUAGGGGAUCGAAGACGAUCAGAUACCGUCGUAGUCUUAACCAUAAAC